CUGUACUUUUGUUGUUGUUUCUUGUUGCUCCCAUUGGCCAACAAAGUUUCUUCAAUGGACAAAAUCUCCUAAAUGCUCAUCUCAAAGUAACUUUAUCAGUUCAGAAUCAGUUUUACAGAAAUCUUUUAUAUCUCCUGUGAAAUCCUUUCCUUCAAUGCCGUUUAAAUGCCAGAAGCAGUUUAAAGGAGCUCUACAGCAUUCAAUUUCAGAUCAGUAGGAGUUCAAUGGUCUGGAAAAUAAGGAAGACAGUGUCAGAAUCAGUUUCCAGGAUACCUUCACAAAACUCAUGUGUUCAGCACUGUGCUGGAGCCUCCUGGCUCCUAUCAGUCCUGAAGCAGCUCUCUCAGAGGAAGCUUUAUUCUGCAAGAUGGCCCAUAGCCUGAGUAUUUUUCAGGGAUCUGGUUCAGUGAUGAACUGGAACAGUGGUGACAGAGAUGUACCAGCUCACUGCUUCCUGAUGCCAACUGUCUCAGAAGCAAAGCCAGAACUACAGGUGAAAAGUCU
ensembl:lncRNA